CUUCAGUCAUGCUUCUGCCAGCAAAAUAUAGAUUAACUGGAAGAAACGGGUGGGACAACACACUGAAGAACAACUGUUUUUAAGAAGAGCAACAAACAGAACAGUUUGUUGGGAGGAAAUGGUGUGGAUCAAAAUGGGAAACAAUGAAAAGAGCGGGCAUGCAUGAUGGGGCCACAGGCGAGAUGUCCUCCUGCUGCACCCAUCAAAAUCAUAAGAUCAGCCCUGCUCCGGGCCGGGAGCAGGACAGGCCAUGACUCAGCAGCAGACAAAGAGACCGAUGACGAUGGAGAUAAGGGCUCAUCGCGUCACCAGAGCGCACAGAGCCGGUGAUAAUACUGCUGGCCUCUCCCUGCUGGCUCCAGUCUGCUCUGCCCUCCCGCCGGUGCCAUCUUGUCUUCAUUCUCACACACAAACACACACUCACAGAGGCUAGUGACUGACUCUGUACUUUUUCUCACGACAAAGGGUUCCCCACCCCCCAGACAGACCGCCUCCAUAAUGCCACGCUCUGCUGCACAGAGAACGAGAGAUAGAAAGAGAGAGAUACUGCUCCUGACAACCAUUGCAGGCUCAGACGCCAGUCUCUGCGCUAUCAUCAGGGUGAUGAGGGAGAUAAUUCAUGGAAAACUCUACCAAACGCAUCCAAUGCCAUUGUUCGCAGAUAGUCAGAGAUGCUCAGACACAAAAAUAGACUCAGAGAUCAGAUCUUUUGCCAUGUCGCCAGUCUUUGUUGCAUCAUCACAGCAUAGCUAAUGAUCAUCAUAAUACAUCAUUAUAAUCUAACUCUCAAAGUUUCCUCUUGCGCAAUUAGCUAGAAAUGACUAGAAUAAAUAAGUGUGAUCUCUCAGAGCCCAUCCUGUACUCAAAGUGGUGUCAUGUAUGAGCGAGUGAACGUGCCUGACUCCACGUUACAGUACUGGAUGUGAAAAUUGGGGUCAAGUUCAGUUCAGGGGUUGAUGACUAGCCUGCUGGCCAUGUGUCCUCCUGUUUCCUCUCGCUGGAGGAGGAGAGGGGUCAGCGGUGAUGGCUUUGUAAUGCGACCCUUAACUACACAUACACACACUGCCUCCUUUCCAUCCUGCCACAGUGACAAAGCUCACGUUCUCAUCUUAAGGAAAACCAAUGAGACCUUGACGCACUCUUUUGAACUGGAAUACAGAGGAGGAAGACGUAUGAUUGUUAUAAUGCUUUUAUUUUAAAUCUCAGCGUCCUCUGAAUCUGAUCAGAUAUGAGACUGGGAGGCUAUCUUAUCAGAUUGUGGUAAACAAAUGCAUGUUGGGAGAAAACAUGCUGGUUUUAAUCAUGUCAUUCAUGUCAUACAACUGGUAUGAUUUUAGGCAUUAAAUUACGCAAAGUUAAUAAGGUCUGCCAAAUGUAACCAACUCCCUUUUUUUUCUUCAGUUUUGAUUGUUUUGUUGGAAAAGCAAAAAAAAAAAAAAAAAAUAGGUUCCAGGUCUUUAGAGGUUUAGAGAAUUUUGUGCUCACUUCAAAGAGCUUUAAGAACACACUUUGUCAAAACUUUUUUUUUUUUUGUUAUAAAAUGGAUUAAAUUAAUAUUACUGCCAUCAAUCAACACAAAAUACACUCAUAGAGAGACAAUAAAAAUAUUUACAAAUAUUGAAAUGUACAAAACAUGCUGAAAUACCUAGUUUCUCAAAUAUUUUACACUUACAAAACAUUGAGACAACAAUACAACCAAAGAUCCCAGAAUGUUCUAAAAUGACCAAAGCUUGGAUUUGAACCUGCACCAACAAUUUGAAAAAAACCUGAAGAUUAAAAAUCAACAAUUUUUGAUUAAAUCCACAAGCUUAAGAGGAUCUGCUUAACCCAGAUGCUUAAAUUUAUUUUUGACAUUUUGUGCAACAAAAAAAAUAUAUAUUAAAAUAUGGAUAUAAUAAAGUGCUCUGAUGCUUUCUGAGGGCAGCAGUCUGAAUUGGUCUGACUGAUAACAGCUUUACAAUCAUAGAUGUUCUUUGAUGGUCAGAUGUAAAUGCAAUAAAACACAGCCAGAGGAGACAGAUAUAGAUAUUCACAAGAAUAUAUAAAGGCAAGACAGUAUCAUCUAAAAUGCAACCAGGUUUUACUGAUUAUUCUCUUUAUUCCCCUGUACUUGUUCUCAGAGAAAUGGGGCCUAAGGUCCCUGCCAAAACGGUCUAGUUGUUUAACCCACUCUUUUCCAAUGAACGAGGCAUGUACAUUGAAAUCUAUGAAAUUCCAUAAACAAAAAGCAGAUGGAAAAGGAAUGGGGUGAGCAGACAGCGCAGGAGAUGACAUAGAAGAGUGAAUCUAGUAUCAAAGUCCAUUUGCUGUGUAUGUGCAUUCUAGCCUAAACAAGCUCUAUCAAAAAGGUGAUUAUGGAUCAAUGGCUCUUCUAACCGUAAAAACAGGCUACUACUACAACCACCAUGCUGCAUGUCACAAUUUCUCCCAUUCAUAUUCCUAUGAGUUCUAUCAUUCUAUCUCCUCUCCCUUAUACUGGCUCUGCUAACCCAAUCUUAGCAUGCAGCGCUGUCUGCACUAUACUGCGCCAUUCCCCAUUCACCAUGUCACAGUGUCCAUACUGAUCUAUAAUUAAUUUAAAAAGGCUUGUGGCCCAGACCACACUGUUGAAAUGCUCUUUGUGUUUGGCUGGCUUACUUCCACACUGUCUGACAAGGAUUGUAUUUCUCUGCCUGACACGGCCAUUGUAAUGCUAAAAGCUGAAUAAUGCACACAGAGAGCUGAUGGAUCUGAAACAACAGGCUUGUUUUGCAGGAGACGCUCAGUCCAGUCAAUUCUGAUUUGUACUUAGAGGCUAUAAGAGAUAUUCAGCACAAAUCACAGUGUUAACAUAGUGUAAGCUCUGUUCCAAAACCUAGUGAGAUGCCUUGCAGCCUACACAGGUAGCUGCCUUCAAAGACAACCUAAGAGUCAUGGAAACUCAUAAAUAACUAAUUUAAAAACACAUAAGUGGUAACUUCACACAAACAACAAUCUGCAUCAGAGACUGA
ensembl:lncRNA